GCUUGGGAUAGCUAGUGUCGGAGUUUCCGACGUUUUGUAUUCGGGUUGAAUACAAAGGAUAGUGGAUUGAAAUUCUCAAGUAGGAUCUUGGGGAGUGGAUGUAGGUGCAAGGUUAGUACCGAACCACUAUAAAUUCUUGUGUUUGUGGUGUGCUUUAUCGCUUCACUUUAUAUCUUUAUUAUAUUCUUGCAUUCCUGCUUUAGGUAAUUAAUAUUGAAUUAAAGUCUUUGUUUUGUUCUUCAUAAG
rnacentral:lncRNA from 1 species